UAAUAAUAAAUAUUUUGAAGAAAAAUGUUUUCUCAGUGCUGACAGAGAGAAGCUGCAGAAAGGGGGAAGAGCAGUAACAGAAACAUGUGGCAUCCAGUGAUCUCAAUGGGAGGAGCCUGGAGGAUGCGAGCUCCAGUUUCAGAAGAGAGAAGAGAGACCCUUUUGACAAGCUGCAGCCCUUCUCCAGCCAGACAAAAUGAGUGGUGUUGGAGUCCUGCAGGCUGGCUCUGGGUCUUACCCUGGGACAGGAAAAUGUGGAUGGAAAUGGGACCUGCAGAUCCUGUGCAGGAUCUACAGGCACAGGAUCUACAGGUUUAA
rnacentral:lncRNA from 1 species